rnacentral:rRNA from 1 species
GAUGAACGCUAGCUACAGGCUUAACACAUGCAAGUCGAGGGGCAGCACAAGGUAGCAAUACUGAGGUGGCGACCGGCGCACGGGUGAGUAACACGUAUCCAACCUACCAUUUACUCUUGGAUAGCCUUCUGAACAGGAGAUUAAUACAAGAUGGCAUUAUGAGAUUUCAUGAUCACAUAAUUAAAGAAUUUCGGUAAAUGAUGGGGAUGCGUUCCAUUAGAUGGUAGGCGGGGUAACGGCCCACCUAGUCUACGAUGGAUAGGGGUUCUGAGAGGAAGGUCCCCCACACUGGUACUGAGACACGGACCAGACUCCUACGGGAGGCAGCAGUGAGGAAUAUUGGUCAAUGGACGCAAGUCUGAACCAGCCAAGUCGCGUGAAGGAUGAAGGUAUUAUGUAUUGUAAACUUCUUUUAUCAGGGAAUAAUGACCGCUACGUGUAGCGGGAGGGAAUGUACCUGAUGAAUAAGCAUCGGCUAACUCCGUGCCAGCAGCCGCGGUAAAC